AAACCAUGCACCGAAGCUGCGGCAGCGACGCUUAUGCGUUGUUGGGUAGGGGAGCGUUCUGUAAGCCUGUGAAGGUGUGCUGUGAGGCAUGCUGGAGGUAUCAGAAGUGCGAAUGCUGACAUAAGUAACGAUAAAGCGGGUGAAAAGCCCGCUCGCCGGAAGACCAAGGGUUCCUGUCCAACGUUAAUCGGGGCAGGGUGAGUCGACCCCUAAGGCGAGGCCGAAAGGCGUAGUCGAUGGGAAACAGGUUAAUAUUCCUGUACUUGGUGUUACUGCGAAGGGGGGACGGAGAAGGCUAUGUUGGCCGGGCGACGGUUGUCCCGGUUUAAGCGUGUAGGCUGGUUUUCCAGGCAAAUCCGGAAAACCAAGGCUGAGGCGUGAUGACGAGGCACUACGGUGCUGAAGCAACAAAUGCCCUGCUUCCAGGAAAAGCCUCUAAGCAUCAGGUAACAUCAAAUCGUACCCCAAACCGACACAGGUGGUCAGGUAGAGAAUACCAAGGCGCUUGAGAGAACUCGGGUGAAGGAACUAGGCAAAAUGGUGCCGUAACUUCGGGAGAAGGCACGCUGAUAUGUAGGUGAAGCGACUAGCUCGUGGAGCUGAAAUCAGUCGAAGAUACCAGCUGGCUGCAACUGUUUAUUAAAAACACAGCACUGUGCAAACACGAAAGUGGACGUAUACGGUGUGACGCCUGCCCGGUGCCGGAAGGUUAAUUGAUGGGGUUAGCGGCAACGCGAAGCUCUUGAUCGAAGCCCCGGUAAACGGCGGCCGUAACUAUAACGGUCCUAAGGUAGCGAAAUUCCUUGUCGGGUAAGUUCCGACCUGCACGAAUGGCGUAAUGAUGGCCAGGCUGUCUCCACCCGAGACUCAGUGAAAUUGAACUCGCUGUGAAGAUGCAGUGUACCCGCGGCAAGACGGAAAGACCCCGUGAACCUUUACUAUAGCUUGACACUGAACAUUGAGCCUUGAUGUGUAGGAUAGGUGGGAGGCUUUGAAGUGUGGACGCCAGUCUGCAUGGAGCCGACCUUGAAAUACCACCCUUUAAUGUUUGAUGUUCUAACGUUGGCCCGUAAUCCGGGUUGCGGACAGUGUCUGGUGGGUAGUUUGACUGGGGCGGUCUCCUCCUAAAGAGUAACGGAGGAGCACGAAGGUU
rnacentral:rRNA from 1 species